AGUGGAGACAUGCCUUUGUAGUGACUGCUUCCUACUCUUAACGCUAAAAAGCUAAAGAGUGGCGUCUCCAAGUCUGCCUGUGGGUAGGAGAGAGAGAGAGGGACUCAUUAAGUGUUAUUAUCUUGUGAAUAGACUUGGUCAGACAAAACAAUAGGAGAGCUGAAGCUUAGGGGAAAGCUCCUCUGUGACGCAUUGGGGUCUACAGCAUUAGCAUUUCUUCAGUGACAAAGCCAAAGAAAAAAGGUCUGUUACAGCUCUUUGAAAACAGAAAGGCCGAAGAGGUGAAUGCAAGGACACACAUGGGGAUGUGAAAGAUGGACAUAAGGAUGCUCUGCAGCAUGGCACACUGCAAAAGCAAAGUAGCAACAAAGGAACACCAGUUUUUUGUUAUUCCCAGAAGAAGAAGAAGCAGGAGAAGGUCCGUGAGACAGAAUGGAUGCAUUCAGUGCAUAAUGCUGCCUCUGGUUCUUGCUUGUUCAAUAUACUUUCAUUUAACUAAUUUGUUAUCUGUCAUUUCCUCACAAGCCCUCAAAGGCUUGAAAUCUUUGAGUGGGCUGAAGCAUUACGUGCCCUGCUGGUACCAAACUCACACAGAUUCUUGCAUCCAUUUUUUGAUAUAACUGUGAGGAUCCAAGCUCUUAGGUCUUUAUCAUGUGUUGCAAUAUAAUCAGAAUGAUGCAGUGAGUUCAGUGUCAGUGUCAAUGGAGAAUGAAUGAGAUGGGGGUUGUUUCUAAUAUCAA
rnacentral:lncRNA from 1 species